rnacentral:lncRNA from 10 species
GCACUGCACCCUACAUUUUACGUGAUGAACUGGGGGCUCACAUAGGAAAUGACUAGCCUAAGAUGGCAGAGCAAGAACUGGAUCCUGGAUUGGAAUGCAUUGAGCAUGUGGCUCUAUCCUGAGGGUGGAGGUCUAGGGGGCCGGGAGAACUUGACAAUGGAUUUAGUCCACCUGGAAUCAGUGUUCUGCUGCCUCCUCGGGGACCAGAGCUGCUCUCCUCCUCAUGUGUCCAGUCCUGGUGGGACAGCCUUCUACGGCGCUGUCCCCAGAGAUCUCAGACAGGUAAAAGGAGGAUGAUAAUGAUAAUACUGAAGAUUGAAUGAAUGAAUGAAGAAAUGUCAAGUGUUUGGUGUCAGGCCUCCCUGUGUGUCAAGAACUCAGAGCUGGAUUUCCUCAAGUGUAACAUUGUUGUUAGGGUUACCGUGAUCACUGUGGGGCAGCCAUCCCCUGUCUCCCCUCCGGGUACACCAGAGCCAGAGAGCAGCCCAGCAGGGCCUUCAGGGGCACCAGGAUUUUCAGACAGUGGCAUAGCUGUCAUCCUCCAUUUCCCUGACCAGGGCAGGGGUCCAGUGGGGCUGGCCAGCAGCCCCUGCUGUCACGAUCUGAUUGGAGUUUCAUUAGUAGGAAAGGCUGGAUCCUGGCACCUGCACACCUCCAGGAGGGAGUGGGGCUCCCAAUGCCCAUCUGGGGACAUUGCAUUAAAGGGUUCCUUUCCACAGGCUCAAUCUUCAGAUGCCUCAGCCCUCCCCGAGCCCUGACCACAAGCCAAAUGGCGCUGGACCACAGUAUCAGGGUUCUCCAGCGACUCCAUCCUCCAGGGAGGAAGAGGUGGUGAAUUUCCGAGCUGGGACAGAACCCAGAGUGGCUGGAGCAGGCCAGCACCUCGCCUCAUAUACUUGGAGCCUGGAGACAUCAGGCAGCAAAUGAGAAGCAUUUUAAGGAAAAUAGAUCCUUGAACCAGGACACCA